GACGAACCGUGCGAACGUUAUUCGGAAUCACUGGGCUUAAAGCGCGUGUAGGCGGCCCGGCACGUCCGUCGCUGAAAUCCCCCGGCUCAACCGGGGAAGGGGCGUGGAUACGACCGGGCUGGAGGGGGUAGGGGAGCCGGAACUUCCGGUGGAGCGGUGAAAUGCGUUGAGAUCGGAAGGAACGCCCGUGGCGAAAGCGGGCUCCUGGACCCCACCUGACGCUGAGACGCGAAGCCAGGGAGCGAACGGG
rnacentral:rRNA from 1 species